rnacentral:rRNA from 1 species
AUUGAACGCUGGCGGCAUGCCUUACACAUGCCAGUCGAACGGUAACAGGUCUUCGGAUGCUGACGAGUGGCGAACGGGUGAGUAAUACAUCGGAACGUGCCCGAGAGUGGGGGAUAACGAAGCGAAAGCUUUGCUAAUACCGCAUACGAUCUCAGGAUGAAAGCAGGGGACCGCAAGGCCUUGCGCUCACGGAGCGGCCGAUGGCAGACUAGGUAGUUGGUGGGAUAAAAGCUUACCAAGCCGACGAUCUGUAGCUGGUCUGAGAGGACGACCAGCCACACUGGGACUGAGACACGGCCCAGACUCCUACGGGAGGCAGCAGUGGGGAAUUUUGGACAAUGGGCGCAAGCCUGAUCCAGCCAUGCCGCGUGCAGGAUGAAGGCCUUCGGGUUGUAAACUGCUUUUGUACGGAACGAAAAGACUCUGGUUAAUACCUGGGGUCCAUGACGGUACCGUAAGAAUAAGCACCGGCUAACUACGUGCCAGCAGCCGCGGUAAUACGUAGGGUGCGAGCGUUAAUCGGAAUUACUGGGCGUAAAGCGUGCGCAGGCGGUUAUGUAAGACAGAUGUGAAUCCCCGGGCUCAACCUGGGAACUGCAUUUGUGACUGCAUAGCUAGAGUACGGCAGAGGGGGAUGGAAUUCCGCGCGUAGCAGUGAAAUGCGUAGAUAUGCGGAGGAACACCGAUGGCGAAGGCAAUCCCCUGGGCCUGUACUGACGCUCAUGCACGAAA